rnacentral:lncRNA from 1 species
UAGACGAAAAAAAAUCAUCCCUAAUAAUAUAUUAUUUUAUUUAGUCAUACACUAAUCUUGGAUAUUAAAUUAUAAUGAAUACAGAAAAAUAUCCAACAAUAACUCUGUUGGACUAUUGUAACAUUGACACACAAUAAGGAUUUCAUUUUUAAGCUAUCAUGUGCAAUACUAUUCAGAGUUCAGAAAUAAUAAAAGAAAUAAUAAAAAAAAAGGAAAAGGGGACAAUAGAUUUUUGACGUCUAGUCAAAAGUGUCACGAUUGCUAUUAUAUAAUAUAUGUCUAUGUAUAUUGUAUAGGUAUCUAUACAAUAUUAAUGUAUAUUUAUUUUUUAGAAGAUUUUGAUUUUAUUUUGCCUAGUAUUCGAUAUUCGUGGUAUUAGAUGGAUUAUUUAUGGUUGUAUGAUUUGCUAUUUAUUGCGGGUUAUCUGGCAAGACGACCACUCAAUCUCCAAUCGGCCCGUGAUACUAUAUUAUAUAUAGUGGUACAUAAAAAAAAAAAGUCCACUGUUACCGAUCUUCUCUUUAAUUUAUGUGUCUCCGGAGAGAAGUCUCCGAGGACGGAGAGAGAGAGAGAGAGAGAGAGAGAGAGAGAGAGAGAGAGAGAGAGAGAAAGAGACAGGCAGAUAGAGACAGAGACAUAUAUAUGUAUAGGUAUAUAUGAUAUAUCUAAGGGAGAGAGACUGUAGGAAUCGGACCCUAGUUUUCACUUUGAACUCUAACGUUGCCUCAAAAAAAAAAAAAAAAAUAAAUAUAUAAAUAUAUAAACCAAUAUCGAUUCAAGCAAAAGUUUUCCCCAAAGGCAAAUGCAAAUCCGUAAAGGGAACCUCACCGGAAGCAUUUUUCAGUAUCGUUCACACUCAUUUCGCAUUCGUGUCUCGAUCAAUUGGAAUAUAAAUCUAAAAAUGUUUCCUAUCGUCAUACGUCUGGGAAGUUAUUACACGAGAUGUUAGCAAUGUUGGUGGAUUUUAUCUUUUUGAUGUUGGAAAUGCAUUGAUUAUUUGAUACCUGUAAUAUCAAAAGAAUUACGUUUACGACUUAAUUGUAUUUCUAAAAUAUCACAACGUCAAAAUUCUUUUGAUUAUAGCUUACAUAAAUUAUUCAUUAUAAUUGAUUCCACAAUUGAAUAAAAUUAGUUAUUAAAAUUAAGGAACACAACUAUGAAUAUUGAAUGCUAUUCAUGAUUGAAUCAAACAAAAAACGAUUUUGCUAGAUUAUUUUCGGUUUAAAGUUUAAAAUAAUAUAUUUUUAUAAAAAUCCUUUAACAAAUUAAGUAGGUACAUAAACUAAGAUAGAUAUUGUUUGCAACUUUUUUGAUAAAAGACAAAUGACCCGACCUUUAAUGCGUUUGUUUAAAUAAUACAUUAUAAGUAAGAAAUAAUUGUUUAAUUAAUUAACUUACAAUUAUUGUAAGUUAAUAUUCCAAAUGUAUUUUUAACUUUAGUAAUAGAUUUUAGUUACACAUAUUACACUUAACAAUAAUUCAGUGCCAUUAAAUUAUAAAACGAAUACAAUGAACUCGUAAUUAAUAACUUAAAACUUUGCGUAGAAGACGUUCUAGGUAUUCGUAAUAAUAGUUUACACAGUAAAACUUCAGUUACAUAUUUUUCAUAUACAGUAGAAAUCGUUUAUAAUGACACAGGUGACAUAUCGGAUUUUAUGACCAUAAAGUAAGGGGCCCGAAAAAUGCAUAGGUAAGUUUUAUACGUACAAUUUUAUCGGCAGUUAUGACUAUCGGUUAGUAUGACCUAUUUUCCUUGGUUAUUACAGAAAUUCAGAAUAUUAUAUAGUUUCCUUUAGGCCUUCUGAGUUCUGGCUAUAGUUGUAAAUAUCGAAUUAGUGUUUUGAUGUUACUCACGUAUUUUGUUAAUUAGGUAAAAGGAAAUAAUAUGCGAAUGAACGGUAAAAAUAAAAAAUAAAUAUGAAACGAAACCCAAAAAUAAUCUACGUUUAUUGCAUAGUUAUCUUCGCGGUGGUAUAAAUAACAACGGAAAUCCUGCAAGUUCAUCAAUAAUACUAGUGAAACGAACUUUCACAACGUGAUAAUAUUGUGAAAAAAAAUACUUGACUUUAUAUAUAACACACGUGCACAUAAUAUAUUUGGUAUAAAAUAAGCAAAAGAAGAGAUGAUGAAAAAUACACAACAUAACAUAAGUCUUAAAUAAAUCAUAGAUACGGAAAAUGGGAUAAAAUACUUGAUGCAGCUCAGUACACAGCGAUUUCCAUUCCAUACAUUUUGUUAUGCUGUGUGUAUCGCGGUAGAAAGAAUCAAAACGUAUAUAAGUACGUUAAUGAUAAAUAUUUUGGAAAACGUGACAAAGAUGCGAACAAUAGGGAGGAUAAUAAUAUAAUAUAAAUUAGUGACAUAUUAUUUGCUUUUGCCAUUACACGUACGGUUUUUUUUUUUAACACAAUCAAUUUUUAUUUUUAUUUUUAGUUAAUUGAGAUUUUAAAUUAAUUGAAAAAUAACGUUUAAAAUGCCUUACACAAGUCUUACAUUUUUAACGUUUCAGUAAAUACUGAAUAAUAUUGAAGACAAAAAAACAUAGUCAACCUAACAAGCUAUAAUAGAUAUAAUAGGUAAGAUUAGAUAAUUAGAAUUCACACAGUAGUACGUGUCAUGUAUAAUAGUGUGUAUGAGAACAUAAUAUAAUUUAUCAAUAGAGAAAAUAGAGUGGGUCGUGGGUACCUAGAAUAGUUUUCAAAAAUUUAGACAAAAAACUUAGUUGACCUGACAAAUUAUAGGUAUCUACUUACGUUCAAAAAUAUAGAAUUCACACUGAAGUACACAUCAUGUAUAACUGUAUGAGUGGUGGUUACCUACCUAUCCUAUACAAUUCGAUUUAUCGAUAGAGAAAAUAUUGUCAUUACAACGUACAGUGAUACGUUUGAAAUAGAAAAACGCAUUUCUACAACCGUAUUGUUGUUGAAAAUCCUCGUAUGAACUUCAAAGGGACCGUUAAAAAAACGACAAUUUUUCGAUCAUCAUCGAGCGACUAACCUACAUAUGUACGAUACCAUCAGGUAUAAUAUAAUAAUAUUAUAAAGGUACCUAUAACAAAAAGUCGGAAUCGGAAAGCGCUUAAUGCGUUUUCCGAAGUGUUCACUGAUCAAUUUCGACUCCCGCCGAGGCAGCCACGCGUUACAAUAAUAAUAAUAAUAAUAAUAAUAAUAAUAAUAAUAGUAGUAGUGUAUUAUUAUUUCAUAUACGUUUCAAGCAAAUAGUUCAGACGAUAAUAUUAAAGUGGGAAAACGGUUCACUGGUACACGAUUACUGAAGCAUCGACAUCCGGGAAGGAUAUUUAUAGUGGCGCGCGGGGUGUGGAAGGAUCGCUGGUAGAAUAGUUUGCAAAAAUGUAGACAAAAAACAUAUAGUCGACCUAACAAACUAUUGGUACCUGUGUUUAAAAGUAUAGAAUUCACACAGUUAUACGCGUCACGUAUAAUAUAACAGCUGUACGAGAACAUAAUAUGAUUUAUCAAUAGAGAAAAUACUAUUACAACUAUAGGUACAUUGAUACGUUUGAAAUAGAUAAACGCGUUUUCUACAACCGUAUUGAUAUUCGAACCAAAAAAUCCCCAUAUGCCAAAAUAAUAUUAUGUACUUCAAAGGAACCGUUCGACAACUCGUCGAUCAUUAUCGAGCGCCUAACCUAAAUAAUAUUAUUUACAAUACGAACAGGUAGUAUAAUAGUAUAAUAAUACUAUUGUAUAUAAAGCUUCUAUAAUAAUACGAUAUUAAAGUAAGAAUCGAAAAGUGCCGUUCGACGUGUUCGCUGUUCGGUUAGGUUAGGUUAAUAAUAAAAAUAAUAAUAAUAACAAUAAUAUAUUAUUAUUGUACUUUUCCAUCAAACAGAGCAAACGAUUAUAUUCUAGUGCGCGAAAACGGCGUGGUUUACUGCUAUAUAAUACACGGCGACUAUACGCCAAAGCGUCGACAUCCGGUAAGGAUAUAUUUUAUAGUUUCACGCAGGGUGGGGUUAGGGGAUGGGGAAGGGGUGAGGGUAGAAUAUAGUUUUCCAUCGCGCAAAAGACGUUCCGGUUAAACACUGCUGCAGGGUUUUCUCGUUUUUUUCCCCCCGUAUGCAUAUUAUAUAAUAUUAUCAUUUCGGGCGCCACCGCCGCCACCUCUGUUUUUACCCAGCUCCGUUCCGGGUUCUGUUUUUUCGUAUUUUUAUUUUAACAGAUUAUUAACAUAGAAACGGUUUAUUUUUUUUUCUGGGGCCGCCACCGCGCUGUCGUGCGUGAGUGUAUAGUAUUGUUUUCCGGACUGUCGCUUCCAAGACAAGGCGCACGUCGAGAGAUUUAUACGCACACUUAGGCUGUCGGGCGCAGAGUUUAGGACUGUUAUAAAUCACAGUCGUGUUAUAACACUGCAGCAGCAGUGCAUGCGGAUGGGGGACGGAGGAAUGGGUGGCGGCAGCAGCAGUAGUAGCACACGUGCGCUCUCGGAUCGUAUUUUAUAUAAUAUAUAUCAAUAUAAUAUUAUUAUAUCAUGAGAUAUUCAUAAGCGGCGGCGGCCUGCGAUGUCGUCGUCGUCGUUGUUAUUGUUGUUGUUAUUAUUAUUAAAUUAUCAUUGUCAAGCGCCACGAAAAUAAAGUUCUUAUAUAAUAGAGCGAUACUCGGCUAUACUAAUACGUCAUCGUACGAUGACGACAAUGAAAAUAAUAAUAAUAAUUAAUAUUGUUUUCGCUUUAUAAAUAAUAUUGUGGUCGUACUGGAUUCGAGCAUAAAAGUACGUGCGUAAUAAUUUUACUGCCUACACGAACAAUAUUAAUAUACAUGCAGUGACGUACCGAUGGGGUGGUAUAACGGGCAAAGAGCCACGGGCGGAUGACUAUAGAGGGCUCGUCGACAAAUGUCACGAAUCCAAAAAACAGAUCACUAUAUAUUAUUACAAAAUUUAAAAACAAAUGAUCUUUUAAAGAAAAAAAAUGAUAUUCUUGUACAAUUACAUUGGUUUAAUACAUAUUAUAAAUUUACUUUUUAGAAUAAUGACUGAAACACGCUUAUAUUUAUUUAAAUAUAUUUUUAAAAAAAUAUUCACUUUUUUUUUUACCUGUUAGAUCGACGAUGUCAGCGAUAUUGUAUUAAUUGGAGAACGGUUAGUUAUAGUAGACAUAAAACAGUAAAACUAAUAAGGACCUUUUGCUAGAAAUUCAGAUGGUAGAUACUUUUCAGAAAAAUAUUAUUUUACAGAGUCCAAUUUUGGUUUAAAAAUAGGAUGUUCUGGCCGUUAUUCGAUCAUACAUCGAAAAGCGUAUUGUUGGUGGUGGUGGCUAUUUGGAGAGCGCCCAUUCGUGGAUUUCACGAAAUUGUAUGGGUUAUUGUGAUUGAAAAUACACAGGCUGUAGAACGCUUCAAUAAUUACUUAUAACCUAUUAGCAGGGGUAGAUCUUUUGUGGGCGGGUGUACGUUCCUGAUACUUCCUUCCCCUAAAUGUGUAAUAUUAGAGGCCCAUGGCCAUUUGAAGCUCUAGUGACGCCAUUGUGUACAUGCAAUGUGCGUUUUAACCAAGUAUACCGUAUAUUUUAUCAAAGUUUUGUAUUUGCGUGAAUUUAACCGUUACACGUCGUUGUUGUGCAGUUAUAAACGGAGCUCGAUUGACAGACGAUGGCGCCGCAGUGACGGGUACGAUAAUCCACAGGGUUCAGUUUGGGGCUCAAGAGUAGGUACUAAACAAAAGUUUUAAAUUACAUCACAGACGGCGUAUGAGAGAUGUUUAAGAUUUAUAUACGAAACCCUCAGGACAUUAUGACCUGCACGAUAAAUAGCUAUUAUAAUAUAGGUAGGCACUCGAAACUUGUAACCUGUACUGCCGAGUUGAACCAAACGAAUCUCAGAGCAUGUCUCUCAGCCGUAUAUGUAAAUAUGUAAUAAUUAUUAAAAAUAAAUGAGCAGGCUACUAGAAGAGAACUGUUAAAACUUUCGUGGAUUGUUUUGUGUAACAAUAUAUUUCAAAAAUUGUCGGUGGUAGGAAUUUCAUGUAAUUUUUGUUUAAAAACUUCGAUGGUUCGGGUAGAUGGUGUCGUCUUUGGAAGAAAGUAAACUCGAUGAUGGUGGUUUCAGAAACACAAGAAGGUAAACAACUAAAACUCUGUACGAUAUAUUAUAAUUAAUAUUAUAAUGGUAUGCUAAAUGAUGAUAAUUAUUAUGAAACGACAUUUUGUGGGUACAUUAAAAACUA